AAGCUUUGGUUCUCCUUCAUUUACACGAAAAAAUCUUUCGCCUUUUACUAAAGAUAUUUGUGGAGGAGAACAACACAAUGGGCUUAAGGGUAUUUUUUUGUCGCCCGCUUGAUUUUCCUGGCA